CGCCCACCGUCGGGUAAUCGUCGGCUUCUUCUGAACCGAACUGCAGUGCAGAGCCGGAAUGGGGGGCUUGGCCCCAAUCCAGCACGGUCAAAAUUAGCUCUCUGUUGAAUUACAUGCAGUCAGCCAGUGGAAGCGGCUGAGAUCCUGACGCCCCAGUCCCGCAGCCUUGUAUGGGGGGUCCAAACCCCGCAAGGCUGCUGCUCGGCUCCGCUUUCGUCCAAGAAAGCCUUUUCCAACAGCAACUUUACAGCAAGGGACAAGAACAAAGACUUUAUCUGUUGUUUCUUCAACAUGACACCAACAGGAGCAAUGGGGGAUCCCAUUAGAGCUGACGGCUGUGUUCCUGAACCCGGUGGCACGGAGAGGAACGACCACGAAAGAUCGACAUUCCUUCUGUCUGAUGCAGGAUAGAGAACGGCCCUCUGGGGAAAUUGUAUCCUCAUAAAAACCUGGGACUCUAAGCCUUGAUGAUAUGUUCUUCGGAGGGGGCGGCAGUAAAGACACACAGCACCUCAAGACAGACUGGAGCUUCACUAAAGACCCACAUGUCUGUGUUUGUAAACUCCAAAGGGGCCCUCGGGGGUCCGGCGGCAGCGGCACGUCUUCCACUUGUCCACUUCAACUUCACACGGCUGGACUCUUUCAUACCUCUGUGAACAAACCCACCGAGAAAUGUUAAUGAUGUUCUGUAUUGACAUGCAAUGUGACAAACGCCACGUGUUUUUAACAACAUCAGGGUUCCCACAUGGACAAACAGAACUGGUGUCUUCACUCAAAAAUUGGUGAAGAAACUAUUUCUACACAUAAAGAAAUUUCACAAAAAAAAAAAAAAAAAAUAUUUUCAAUCAGAAAUUAAAAACAUUUUUACAAAAAAAAAAAAAAGAAUUGACAAAUUUAAAUCAGAAAUUAAAUGUCACCCAAAAAUUGGUGUAGAAACAAUUUUCAAUCAUAAACUAAUUCCACCA
ensembl:lncRNA